AACGAACGCUGGCGGCAGGCCUCAAACAUGCAAGUCUAGGGGGUGUAGCAAUACAUCACCGGCGGACGGGUGCGUAACGCGUGGGAAUAUACCUAUCGAUUCGGAACAACUGAGGGAAACUUCAGCUAAUACCGAAUACGUCCUAACGGAGAAAGAUUUAUCGUCGAUAGAUUAGCCCGCGUUCGAUUAGCUAGUUGGUGGGGUAACGGCCCACCAAGGCGACGAUCGAUAGCUGUUCUGAGAGGAAGAUCAGCCACACUGGGACUGAGACACGGCCCAGACUCCUACGGGAGGCAGCAGUUGGGAAUCUUGGACAAUGGGGGAAACCCUGAUCCAGCCAUGCCGCGUGAGUGAUGAAGGCCUUCGGGUUGUAAACUACUUUCGCGCACGACGAUAAUGACGGUAGUGCGAGAAGAAGCUCCGGCUAACUUCGUGCCAACAGCCGCGGUAAU
rnacentral:rRNA from 1 species